rnacentral:rRNA from 1 species
UUUGUUUAUAUAUGGAUAAUGACAGUAUAUAUAUCGUGUCUUGACUAAUUGCGUGCCAGCAGUCGCGGUAAUACGUAAGAGACUAGUGUUAUUCAUCUUAAUUAGGUUUAAAGGGUACCCAGACGGUCAAUAUAGCUUAUAAAAUGUUAGUACUUGACUAGAGUUUUAUGUAAGAGGGCAGUACUUGAGGAGGAGAGAUGAAAUUUCGUGAUACCAAAGGGACUCUGUAAAGGCGAAGGCAGCCCUCUAUGUAAAAACUGACGUUGAAGGACGAAGGCACAGAGAACAAACAGGAUUAGAUACCCAAGUAGUCUUUGCAGUAAAUGAUGAAUGCCAUAGGUUAGAUUGAUCAAUUAUAGUCUAGGGUUAGUCUAGCAAACUAAUGCCCUAUGAUAUAAUUCAAAAUAUCUGGUCUAUAAAUGAAAGUGUAAGCAUUUCACCUCAAGAGUAAUGUGGCAACGCAGGAACUGAAAUCACUAGACCGUUUCUGACACCAG